rnacentral:rRNA from 1 species
CAGCCAUCAUUUAAAGAAAGCGUAAUAGCUCACUGGUCGAGUCGGCCUGCGCGGAAGAUGUAACGGGGCUAAACCAUGCACCGAAGCUGCGGCAGCGACACUAUGUGUUGUUGGGUAGGGGAGCGUUCUGUAAGCCGUUGAAGGUGUCCUGUGAGGGGUGCUGGAGGUAUCAGAAGUGCGAAUGCUGACAUAAGUAACGAUAAAG